rnacentral:lncRNA from 1 species
AUAGAGUUGGUGUUGUGAAGAGUUGCAUUUAGUGAGUGAGUUCAAUUUAUUGUUCCUCUGAUUCAAUGUGUCCUCCCUUCCUUUCCUCUUUCCAAUCAGUCUGAUCUGCUAUGUGAUAUCUCUCAAGGUAUGUUAUUGUUAUUGUUAACUACUCAUUCAAGUUCCGUUCUUUCCUCUUUUCUGGGUUUUUGGAUUUUAUUUGGAAGUUUGAUUUCUAAUUCUAGGUUUUGUGUUUCUUUGGGUGUUUGUGUGAGUGGGUGAGAAUGAGAUGAUUCUUU